GACGAACGCUGGCGGCGUGCCUAAUACAUGCCAGUAGAACGCUGAAGGAGGAGCUUGCUUCUCUGGAUGAGUUGCGAACGGGUGAGUAACGCGUAGGUAACCUGCCUGGUAGCGGGGGAUAACUAUUGGAAACGAUAGCUAAUACCGCAUAAUAGUAGAUGUUGCAUGACAUUUGCUUAAAAGGUGCAAUUGCAUCACUACCAGAUGGACCUGCGUUGUAUUAGCUAGUUGGUGGGGUAACGGCUCACCAAGGCGACGAUACAUAGCCGACCUGAGAGGGUGAUCGGCCACACUGGGACUGAGACACGGCCCAGACUCCUACGGGAGGCAGCAGUAGAGAAUCUUCGGCAAUGGACGGAAGUCUGACCGAGCAACGCCGCGUGAGUGAAGAAGGUUUUCGGAUCGUAAAGCUCUGUUGUAAGAGAAGAACGAGUGUGAGAGUGGAAAGUUCACACUGUGACGGUAUCUUACCAGAAAGGGACGGCUAACUACGUG
rnacentral:rRNA from 1 species